rnacentral:rRNA from 1 species
CGGUCCUACGGGGGGCAGCAGUAGGGAAUCUUUCACAAUGGGCGAAAGCCUGAUGGAGCAACGCCGCGUGCAGGAUGAAGGCCUUCGGGUUGUAAACUGCUUUUAUAAGCGAGAAAUAUGAUGGUAACUUAUGAAUAAGGAUCGGCUAACUACGUGCCAGCAGCCGCGGUAAUACGUAGGGGGCAAGCGUUAUCCGGAUUUACUGGGUGUAAAGGGAGCGUAGACGGCAGGGCAAGUCUGGAGUGAAAGCCCGGGGCCCAACCCCGGGACUGCUUUGGAAACUGCCAUGCUGGAGUGCUGGAGAG